GAUAAUCAGGACCUACCUCUUAAUAGAGCAAUGGACUGAACGCGCUGAUGAUGAUGGAGGUGAAAACGCUGCCUGACCCAGAAACACACUGAUAAACUUAUGACUUCACCUCUGGUUCCUAGAUGCUGUAGAAAAUACUAUUUGUGUUUGGUGAGCUCUAAGGAGAUGUGUGAAUUCAAAUAUUAGCACCCAUGAAAAAUAUGUGUCACAGGAGCUGCCCCAGUGGAGGUGAAGAGAGUCACAGGAGACAGAGGAGGAUGGGGAAAUAAACAAGUCAGUUAAUACAUCAAUAUUGUAUCUUUCUACACAUGCGUAUUGCUCAGGUUCUGUACACAAUAAAGUACAA